GACGAACGCUGGCGGCGUGCUUAACACAUGCAAGUCGAACGGAAAGGCCCUGCUUUUGUGGGGUGCUCGAGUGGCGAACGGGUGAGUAACACGUGAGUAACCUGCCCUUGACUUUGGGAUAACUUCAGGAAACUGGGGCUAAUACCGGAUAGGAGCUCCUGCUGCAUGGUGGGGGUUGGAAAGUUUCGGCGGUUGGGGACGGACUCGCGGCUUAUCAGCUUGUUGGUGGGGUAGUGGCUUACCAAGGCUUUGACGGGUAGCCGGCCUGAGAGGGUGACCGGCCACAUUGGGACUGAGAUACGGACCAGACUCCUACGGGAGGCAGCAGUGGGGAAUCUUGCACAAUGGGCGGAAGCCUGAUGCAGCAACGCCGCGUGCGGGAUGACGGCCUUCGGGUUGUAAACCGCUUUCGCCUGUGACGAAGCGUGAGUGACGGUAAUGGGUAAAGAAGCACCGGCUAACUACGUG
rnacentral:rRNA from 1 species